UACGUAGGGGGCAAGCGUUGUCCGGAUUUAUUGGGCGUAAAGAGCGUGUAGGCGGCCAAGCAGGUCAGCUGUGAAAACUCGAGGCUCAACCUCGAGACGUCGGUUGAAACCGCUUGGCUAGAGUCCGGAAGAGGAGAGUGGAAUUCCCGGUGUAGCGGUGAAAUGCGCAGAUAUCGGCAGGAACACCCAGGGGGAAACCAGCCGACUGGGCAAGUGCUGACGCUGAGGUGCGAGAGCGUGGGGAGCGAACCGG
rnacentral:rRNA from 1 species